rnacentral:lncRNA from 1 species
GUGGCUGUGCCCUGAUAUUUUCCCUCUUGAAGGAAGAAACUGUUUUAGUGGAGCCCACAGUUAAGAGACUUUUAAUUAGACUUUGGAUUUUAAAAGAGAUGGAUAUUUUAAAGAGAUUGAAAUUUUAAGAAUAUGUAAAGACUGUGGGACUUUUAAAGUUAUUUAGAUCUUGGGGAUGAAUAAGAAUGUAAGGGUUGAGGCUUACUAGUGAUGUGUUUGUGUGUCAAGUUGACAAGGGGUCAAUUGUACUGGCUAGUUUUGUGUCAACUUGACACAGCUGGGGUUAUCACAGAGAAAGGAGCUUCAGUUGAGGAAAUGCCUCCAUGAGAUCCAACUCUAAGGCAUUUUCUCAAUUAGUGAUCAAGGGGGAAUGGCCCCUUGUUGGUGGGACCAUCUCUGGGCUGGUAGUCUUGGGUUCUAUAAGAGAGCAGGCUGAGCAAGCCAGGGGAGGCAAGCCAGUAAAGAACAUCCCUCCAUGGCCUCUGCAUCAGCUCCUGCUUCCUGACCUACCUGCCUGAGUUCCAGUCCUGGCUUCCUUGGUGAUGAACAGCAGUAUGGAAGUGUAAGCCGAAUAAACCCUUUCCUCCCCAACUUGUUUCUUGGUCAUGAUGUUUGUGCAGGAAUAGAAACCCUUACUAAGACAGCAUCUCUCCCUUGCCUAUACUGACACACAUCAGAAAAGCUGUAGGGCCAGCUCUCCCAUACUCACACCCUUAAGACUUGCUCACUGGUGUACCCAUCAGCAGAGUCAGGUCUAUUAUGCUGCCCAAGUGAGGGGCAGGCCCUACUCUCCCACGUGCUGCAGCAGAUGAGGAGGAGGGCCACAUCUCCUGUUCAGAAGACCGCUGGGACAGCUCUCCUGCCUCCCAGAGAUAGCAAGGGAUGUAUAUUUGGGGGUGAGGGAGCAUAUAAUUUCUCCCUUGCCCAUGUCACCUCACAGCAGACAAUUGGCAGAUCCAGCUCUCUCAGCUCACACCCUUGGGUUAGCUCACCCAAUCCCCUGCCACCAGGAUCAUCAGCAUUGCUGUGCUGUUCAGGAAAGGUACAGGGUCUGCUCUCCCUAGUGCUGCAGACAACACAUGCCUCUUUGUUUUCUAACAGGAUACCCAAGAGUGUGGAUCUGGAUAGGAGAGGAGACGAGGUGGUAAAGAACCUGAAGGGGUAAUGAGAGGGAAAAACUUAAUCAGAAUGCAUUGUAUGGGGCUAAAGGGAUGACUCAGCACUUAAGAGCAAUAGUUGUUCUUGCAGACAUUCUGAUUUCAAUAUCCAGCAAACACAUGGUGUCUCACAGCCAUCUAUAAUAGAACCUGAUGCUUUCUUCUGUUCUGUAGGCAUAUAUGCAAAGAAAGCACUCAUAUACUUGAAUAAAUAAAACUUUUUUUAAAAGAUGCCUUGAAGCCGGGCAAUGGUGGCACAUGCCUUUAAUCCCAGCAGUUGAAAGGCAGAGACAGGCAGAUUUCUGAGUUCGAGGCCCACCUAAUCUACAGAGUGAGUUCCAGGACAGCAAGGACUACACCAAGAAACUCUGUCUCAUAUGAAAAGUGAUUUUCAGUAAAAGAAAGAAACUUAACUACAAAAAAUGC